UACGUAGGGGGCAAGCGUUGUCCGGAUUUACUGGGCGUAAGAGCGUGUAGGCGGCCAAGCAGGUCCGUUGUGAAAACUGGAGGCUUAACCUCCAGACGUCGACGGAAACCGCGUGGCUAGAGUCCGGAAGAGGAGAGUGGAAUUCCUGGUGUAGCGGUGAAAUGCGCAGAUAUCAGGAAGAACACCAAUGGCGAAGGCAGCUCUCUGGGACGGUACUGACGCUGAGACGCGAAAGCGUGGGGAGCGAACAGG
rnacentral:rRNA from 1 species